GAUGAACGCUAGCGGCAGGCCUAACACAUGCAAGUCGAGGGGCAGCGGGUAAGUAGCUUGCUACUUAUGCCGGCGACCGGCGGACGGGUGCGUAACGCGUAUGUAACCUACCUUUGACAGGGGGAUAACAUCGAGAAAUUGGUACUAAUACCCCAUAACAUCACCGGAGGCAUCUUCGGUGGUUGAAAACUCAGGUGGUCAGAGAUGGACAUGCGUUGUAUUAGCGAGUUGGUGAGGUAACGGCUCACCAAGGCGACGAUACAUAGGGGGACUGAGAGGUCAACCCCCCACAUUGGUACUGAGACACGGACCAA
rnacentral:rRNA from 1 species